CUACGGGGGGCACCAGUGAGGAAUAUUGCACAAUGGGGGGAACCCUGAUGCAGCAACGCCGCGUGGAGGAUGACGCAUUUCGGUGUGGAAAAGAGGGUUAUAUGUCAAGAAAAUGACGGUAGCAUAUGAAUAAGCACCGGCUAACUCCGUGCCAGCAGCCGCGGUAAUACGGAGGGUGCAAGCGUUACUCGGAAUCACUGGGCGUAAAGGACGCGUAGGCGGGUUGGAAAGUCAGGUGUGAAAUCCUACAGCUUAACUGUAGAACUGCACUUGAAACUUCUAAUCUAGAGUAUGGGAGGGGGAGAUGGAAUUAGUGGUGUAGGGGUAAAAUCCGUAGAUAUCACUAGGAAUACCUAAAGCGAAGGCGAUCUCCUGGAACAUUACUGACGCUAAGGCGUGAAAGCGUGGGGAGCAAACAGGAUUAGAUACCCGUGUAGUC
rnacentral:rRNA from 1 species